rnacentral:lncRNA from 1 species
UGCCUAUGGUCUCAAAAGAAAAGAAUUGUUUGAACGAGUUGUGGUCACUGUGAAUCUUUUAUUCACAUUUUCUUGUAGUAUGGAUAUCAAGGAGACAAAAUUGAUGUUAUUGAGUUGUUUUGAAGUGUACUCGUUUGAUAAAAACUGGAAUGGAAAAAACUCUAAAUGGUGUAAUUCUUCAUAUAUCAGUGAACAUAUACAAAGAUUUUUAAGUAGCAUAGAUAUGCUUGCUUAUUUUUAGUUUAGCCAAACCCAGUCAGCAUGUCUGAAUAGAACUUGGAAAGGGAACAUUUUAC